AAUUCGAAAAUUCCUUCAGCUUGGAAGUAAUCGCCAGCAAGGCUCCCUCUACUCUGACAUAUUUAUUCUUCCUCUUCAGAUUCAAACCGUUCCAGAAGAUAUCACGGAUCACCCAGUGUGUGUCAGCCUCCUGUCCCUCAACAUCACUUGUGUAAUGUUCAUCCAUGCUCCAUGUUGUGGCGAUAAUCUAUUUUGCCCAGAACUUCAGAGAAGACCAUCCUGGCAGUCAGCAAAUGAGAGGCCAUAAGUUCUGCUCAGCAGCAUUUCAUAAGAUGGUAAAAAUAAAGAAAUAAAUCGGAGCAAACUGGAGUGAAAAUGAAGCAUCUGUGGAGGAAGAGCCUUGCCCACUGUGAC